CAGCAGCCGCGGUAAUACGUAGGGUGCAAGCGUUAAUCGGAAUUACUGGGCGUAAAGCGUGCGCAGGCAGUUAUGCAAGACAGAUGUGAAAUCCCCGGGCUCAACCUGGGAACUGCAUUUGUGACUGCAUGGCUGGAGUGCGGCAGAGGGGGAUGGAAUUCCGCGUGUAGCAGUGAAAUGCGUAGAUAUGCGGAGGAACACCGAUGGCGAAGGCAAUCCCCUGGGCCUGCACUGACGCUCAUGCACGAAAGCGUGGGGAGCAAACAGGAUUAGAUACCCGCGUAGUCCCUGUCUCUUAUAC
rnacentral:rRNA from 1 species